rnacentral:misc_RNA from 1 species
GAUGAAGAACGUAGCGAAAUGCGAUAAGUAAUGUGAAUUGCAGAAUUCAGUGAAUCAUCGAAUCUUUGAACGCACAUUGCGCCCUUUGGUAUUCCUUAGGGCAUGCCUGUUCGAGCGUCAUUUGAAACCUCAAGCUCAGCUUGGUGUUGGGUGUCUGUCCCCGCCUCACCGCGGGGACUCGCCUCAAAAUCAUUGGCGGCCGGUACGUUGGCUUCGAGCGCAGCAGAAACGCGAACUCGAGGCCCGGCGGAUCGGCGACCAGAAGUCACUUCUUCACAGUUUGACCUCGGAUCAGGUAGGGAUACCCGCUGAACUUAAGCAUAUCAAUAAGCGGAGGA